AACGAACGCUGGCGGCAUGCCUAACACAUGCAAGUCGAACGAGACCUUCGGGUCUAGUGGCGCACGGGUGCGUAACGCGUGGGAACCUGCCCUUAGGUUCGGAAUAACUCCCCGAAAGGGGUGCUAAUACCGGAUAAUGUCUUCGGACCAAAGAUUUAUCGCCUUUGGAUGGGCCCGCGUUGGAUUAGCUAGUUGGUAGGGUAAAAGCCUACCAAGGCGACGAUCCAUAGCUGGUCUGAUAGGAUGAUCAGCCACACUGGGACUGAGACACGGCCCAGACUCCUACGGGAGGCAGCAGUGGGGAAUAUUGGACGAUGGGCGAAAGCCUGAUCCAGCAAUGCCGCGUGAGGGAUGAAGGCCUUAGGGUUGUAAAGCUCUUUUACCCGGGAUGAUAAUGACAGUACCGGGAGAAUACGCUCCGGCUAACUCCG
rnacentral:rRNA from 1 species